rnacentral:sRNA from 1 species
GCAAAAGAGAGCUGUCAAUAAAUAUAUAAUAAUAAUACUAUUGACAACAGAGCUCAUAAACUUAAAUAUUUUUAUAAAAUGGUAAAUGAGCGUUCAGGUACAAUAGAACAAUUGCGACAAUGAAAUUGUAUUGUUUUCUGGAAGAAUAGUGGCAGCAGACAUUGAGCUGGAUCGUUAUCAAUAUUUUCAUUUAGAAUUCCAACAGGAGAGAGGUAAGCAAAUCCAGAAAAAUAUCGUUUAAAAAGACGUUUUCGUGCAUAGGCACUUUAUCAACAAAAAGUUUUUGGUGGCGCAAAACAUA